AACAAGGUUUUCCGUAGGUGAACCCUGCGGAAGGAUCAUUAUUGAAAUAAACCUGAUGAGUUGUUGCUGGUUCUCUAGAGAGCAUUGUGCACGCUUGUCAUCUUUAUGUCUCCACCUGUGCACAUUUUGUAGACCUGGAUCACUCUCUGAAAUGCUAACCAGCAUUUCAGGUUGGAGGAAUUUGACUUUGUUGUCUUUCCUUGCAUUUCUAGGUCUAUGUUCUUUUUCAUAUAAUCUUAUUGUGAUAUAAUGGACCCUAUAUAAUAUAAACCUAUACAACUUUCAGCAACGGAUCUCUUGGCUCUCGCAUCGAUGAAGAACGCAGCGAAAUGCGAUAAGUAAUGUGAAUUGCAGAAUUCAGUGAAUCAUCGAAUCUUUGAACGCACCUUGCGCUCCUUGGUAUUCCGAGGAGCAUGCCUGUUUGAGUGUCAUUAAUAUAUCAACCUCUUUAAAUUUUGAGAGUGUUUGGAUGUGGGGGGUGUUAUUUUGCUGGCCUUCUCCAAGGUCAGCUCCCCUGAAAUGUAUUAGCGGAACAAUUUGUUGACCGUUCAUUGGUGUGAUAGCAUAUCUACGCUAUUGACGUGAAGCAAGUUCAGCUUAUAACAGUCCAUUGGACUUGGACAAUUCUCUAUUUAUUAAUGUGACCUCAAAUCAGGUAGGACUACCCGCUGAACU
rnacentral:rRNA from 1 species